UACGUACGAGGCGAGCGUUAUCCGGAAUUACUGGGCGUAAAGCGCGCGCAGGUGGCCGAGUAAGUCAGCCGUGAAAUCUCCCGGCCUAACUGGGAGGGGUCGGUUGAGACUGCUGGGCUUGAGGACUGCAGAGGUGGGUGGAAUUCCUGGUGUAGUGGUGAAAUGCGUAGAGAUCAGGAGGAACACCGGUGGCGAAGGCGGCCCACUGGGCAGUCACUGACGCUGAGGCGCGAAAGCUCGGGGAGCGAACGGG
rnacentral:rRNA from 1 species